UACAGGGGGGGCAAGCGUUGUUCGGAAUUACUGGGCGUAAAGGGUUCGUAGGUGGCUUACUAAGUCAAACGUGAAAUCCCUCAGCUUAACUGGGGAACUGCGUCCGAUACUGGAUGGCUUGGAUUUGGGAGAGGGAUGCGGAAUUCCAGGUGUAGCGGUGAAAUGCGUAGAUAUCUGGAGGAACACCGGUGGCGAAGGCGGCAUCCUGGACCAAUAUCGACGCUGAGGAGCGAAAGCUAGGGGAGCAAACGGG
rnacentral:rRNA from 1 species